AGAGUUUGAUCCUGGCUCAGAGUGAACGCUGGCGGUAGGCCUAACACAUGCAAGUCGAACGGCAGCACAGUAAGAGCUUGCUCUUACGGGUGGCGAGUGGCGGACGGGUGAGGAAUACAUCGGAAUCUACUUUUUCGUGGGGGAUAACGUAGGGAAACUUACGCUAAUACCGCAUACGACCUACGGGUGAAAGCAGGGGAUCUUCGGACCUUGCGCGAUUGAAUGAGCCGAUGUCGGAUUAGCUAGUUGGCGGGGUAAAGGCCCACCAAGGCGACGAUCCGUAGCUGGUCUGAGAGGAUGAUCAGCCACACUGGAACUGAGACACGGUCCAGACUCCUACGGGAGGCAGCAGUGGGGAAUAUUGGACAAUGGGCGCAAGCCUGAUCCAGCCAUACCGCGUGGGUGAAGAAGGCCUUCGGGUUGUAAAGCCCUUUUGUUGGGAAAGAAAUCCAGCUGGUUAAUACCCGGUUGGGAUGACGGUACCCAAAGAAUAAGCACCGGCUAACUUCGUGCCAGCAGCCGCGGUAAUACGAAGGGUGCAAGCGUUACUCGGAAUUACUGGGCGUAAAGCGUGCGUAGGUGGUCGUUUAAGUCUGUUGUGAAAGCCCUGGGCUCAACCUGGGAACUGCAGUGGAAACUGGACGACUAGAGUGUGGUAGAGGGUAGCGGAAUUCCUGGUGUAGCAGUGAAAUGCGUAGAGAUCAGAGGACAUCCAUGGCGAAGCAGCUACCUGGACCAACACUGACACUGAGCACGAAGCGUGGGGAGCAAACAGGAUUAGAUACCCUG
rnacentral:rRNA from 1 species